rfam:Gossypium arboreum cultivar AKA8401 contig_9057_3, whole genome shotgun sequence.
AACCCACGGUGAGGGCACCUUCUCAGAAAAUCCUUGUAUCUCUGCCAUGCAUCGUAAAGUGUUUCUAAAUCCAUCUGCACAAAACAAGAGAUAUCAUUAUGUAAUU